GCGCCCAAUGGCAAAGCUACUUAUAUUUCAUCAUAACAAGCAUAAAAAAUAAUCAAAAAGGAUUUGUGAUUUUAU
rnacentral:sRNA from 12 species